rnacentral:rRNA from 1 species
AUUGAACGCUGGCGGCAGGCAUAACACCUGCAAGUCGAGAGGAGCGGCGGACGGGUGAGUAAUUCCUAGGAAUCUGCCUGGUAGUGGGGGAUACAGUCCGGACACGGGCGCUAAUACCGCAUACUAUCAGAUAAUCCUAGGUCGGCUUGGCUAGUUGGGGGGGUAAAGGCCUACAAAGGCGACGAUCCGUAACUGGUGUGAGAGGAUGAACAGUCACACGGGAACGGAGACACGGUCCAGACUCCUACGGGAGGCAGCAGUGGGGAAUAUUGGACAAUGGGCGAAAGCCUGAGCCAGCCAUGCCGCGUGUGUGAAGAAGGUCUUCGGAUUGUAAAGCACUUUAAGUUGGGAGGCGUUACCAACAGAAUAAGCACCGGCUAACUUCGUGCCAGCAGCCGCGGUAAUAC